AUGAACGCGUACUGGUACAUAUACAUGCGCACCCGGGGCAGCGACCUGUCGAAGCUGAUCGGCGAGGAGCCCAUGAAGCGGCGGUACAAGACCUCGGCCGAGGAGGCGGCGUGGGAGUACCAGGACGCGGCGUGGAGCCCGCUGGUCCGGCUCCUUGGCGGUGGCGGCGGCAAGGCGUGGCCGGCCGACGAGGCACGGGAGAAGGCGGCGGCGUUCGUCAGCGUGCUGGAGGAGAGGGUGAGGAAGCACGGGGCGGAGUACAAGAUCCCGGACGGCGACCUCAGGGCGCAGAUCAAGGCCGCGGUGACCAAGGCCGUGCGCGGCGCGUACGCCGGGUUUCUGAAGGCGAACGAGAAGGCGGUGGCCGGCGGGAGGCGGGAGCUCCUGCAGGUGGACGUCAUCGAGAGCAUGGUGAGGCGGGUGUUCGAGGAGAUGGGCGACGGUGAAGCCGGCGGCAAGGGCAUGGGCCGGACGAGGAGCAGCGGCCGGGUACGGCGGGAGAGCGGCAAUAUCGAAGGGUUCGAGGCCAGCUGA
rnacentral:rRNA from 1 species